UGCAUGCUCCCGAUGCAACUGAACCACUAUGACCAGUUGAGAACAAUCAAUGCUGGUAGCACGCUUGCAUAUCUACGACAAUAGAAGACCAUUGGACUUAAUAUUUAUUGAGAGAUUUAAAUUUAGGUCUCAUCUAAUCAGUCAUCACAUUACUGAUCUAAUUGACAUGGGCUAAAUCAAAUUAUCAAGCAACCAUAUUUGAGACUCAAUCUUCCAAAUUAGCCAGAUAAGUGGAGAUUGAUGGGGGUCCCCCCAUUAUUUUUUUAGAUACCAAUAAAUUGGCC
rnacentral:lncRNA from 1 species